UAGGUUAUUAAAAAUUAUGAGUUUCACGAGGCUGAAAAAAAAAAAAGGCACAAAUAUUUUUUUCCAUUAUGACACAUCUCUUAAUGCCCAUCCAUACAACUUUCUACAGGAUGUCAAAAUUAAUCUAGAUAAAGCAUAUGAUCCGAUGAAUGAGAAAAGCUUCCCAACAUCUACCUAUGAAUUUCAUAAGAGAAUUCAAUUAAAAGAUGUAUAUCUAGAGGCUCCCUCAUUUAAAUCAUACAAUUACGGGCAAUCACAUCAGAAGUAAGCUGUCUAACUGAUUCAAUAAUUUGAUAACUUUACAAAAUGUUGUGAAAAUGAGAAAAUAAUUUGGG
rnacentral:lncRNA from 1 species